CUAGGAGAGGCAUCAGGCUCCGGCAGAGCAACCUUCUGAUGUAACCAACCCAGAUGAUCUGAGAGGAAGAGCAGGCCUAGGAAAAGGCAUCUUGCACCAGCGGAACAACCUGAUGACAACAUAGCUUCAAUAUCAAUUCCGCUGUUGCGCAUC